ensembl:lncRNA
CCAAGCCAAGUUCUGUCCGAGAUCGAAGAGACGGCCUCUCACACCAAGUUCCUGUCUGAGGUCGAACAGGUGACCUCCCAUGCCCAGUUGCUGUCUGAGGUCGAACAGGCGACCUCUGAAGCCCAGUUCCUGUCUGAGGUCGAAGAGAGAACCUCUCAAGCCAAGUUCCUGUCUGAGCUCGAGGAGAUGACCUCUCAAGCCAAGUUCCUGUCUGAGGUCAAAGAGACAGCCUCUCACGCCAAGUUCCUGUCCGAGGUCAAAGAGGUGACCUCCCACACCAAGUUCCUGUCCAAGAUCGAGAAGACGACCCCUCAAGCCAAGUUCUUGUCCGAGGUCGAAGAGAUGACUUCUCAAGCCAAGUUCCUUUCCAAGGUUGAAGAGACGACCUCCCAAGCCAAGUUCCUGUCUGAGGUUGAAGAGACGGCGUCCCUAGCCAAGUUCCUGUCUGAGGUCGAAUAGAUGGCUUCUCAAGCCAAGUUCCUGUCCGAAGUCUAAGAGUCGGCCUCUCAAGCCAAGUUUCUGUCCGAGCUCGAGGAGACAAGCUCUCAAGCCAAGCUCCUGUCUGAAGUCUAAGAGUCGGCCUCUCAAGCCAAGUUCCUGUCCGAGCUCGAGGAGACGACCUCUCAAACCAAGUUCCUGUCUGAGCUCGAAAAGAGGGCCUCUCAAGCCAAGUUCCUGUCCGAGGUCGAAAAGACGGCCUCCCAAGACGGGUUCCAGUCUGAGUUCGAUGAAGUGAC